AUGUGAAUUCGGUGUUCCGGUACAUAUUGCUCAUGAUAGUACGUCGUAUACAACACAAUAACGCAUGCCGAUACUGUCGUGCCGUACUCUUGUACUGUGCCGCUAAACUGCUACAUCUGAUAUGCAUCCACAUGGUAAUACUUAUGCUGACUGUGUUAUUCCUUUCACAUUUCAUGCGUAGAGAUACAUGCAGGGGUGUUUGGAUAUAUGUAGUAUUUAUGAUUUAAGAAUGGUCAACAAGCGGUUGUAUGUUCUUUUCGAGUCAUGCUCCCACGGCACCAAUGAGCAGCGGGCGACCAAACAGCCGACUUGCUAGAUGCUUACACACUUUUCCCAUAGUGCCUGCGAGGCAUUCUGGGAUUGCUUGAAAAGGUCUAUUGAGCAGCUCUGAAAAAUUAAUUCAGUGGCCUUCCUGUAUCAUAACAGCACUUUUUUUUCUGUGUCCAUUUGUAGGUGUGAAGUGUCCUUGAACUGUAACAUAUAAAUGGGUGCAGACAUCCUAUCCUAUUGCAUGCUUUCACAGUAAUGCAGCAGCUUGGUCUUGAAGUAGUGCGUGUGUGCAGCUGUGGCAAAAUUUUGUUUUGGUUACAGUUCAGUACCACUAAUGAUGUGCAUAUUCGCUGCUCUGACCACUUAUGUCACAAGCAGUCUAUGCUGUAAUGUCUCUGCCAAAGUGGUCAUCUUUAACAGUAUGCGGCACAGUGCACAGUUAUUGAACGUAAAUUUGAUGUAGAAGUGUUUGAAUUCAUUCAAAGCUCACUGUCGUGCUUUUUCUUUCAUCUCACUUGCCUCAGUCUGGCAAAAGCACGUGUAUCAACGGCGCCUAAAGACUCUAAACAAAUGUUUGGAACAUAGGUACAACACUGAGCAAACAUUGGCAUCAUUAUUUUCUGAACAGUUGCUGACGUUGCAAAAUAUUUUCUUUGCACUCUUACAUUUACAGGUAUAAUAAUAACUUUUCUAGCUUACGGAACAGUGGAGCUUGAAUUCUAACAGUUUAGCAUUUGUUGAUUUUGCUCCAUGAACAGGUUCAGCACAAAGUGUUGCUACAGCAGCAACAACUGCGCCUGCUACUGAGUCUGCUGCCACCUCAUAUCCUGCAGCCAGACCAACUAAAUGUGCUGCCUCUUCUGGUCCUGCAGCCUUAGCAGUCACACUGCCUUCUGCCUCUGAUGCUGACAUGUCGCAGUGUUCGUUCAGCAAGGAUGAACAGCUAAGAUAAUCAAGGAUCCACAAGGAGUAUUAUAGGUUGACCAGCCUAACGGUUGGAUGCUCUCAAGGGCCGCCUCAAAAAAGGACUUUCAUUUGGUUCAGCGGUCCACCAUCGCAAUAUGGUGGACAGAUGCCCGCGUGCAUAGGAGCUUCCUGGGAACGAACCAUUUUGCAGCAGAAGGUGGCCAGAAGCCUGCACAGCAGCCAUUGUCCCCACACAAAGUGGAAGCAUAGAGAGUCUCUUCCAGGCACUACAGUGCUGCCCAAAGCCCUUCGGAAGAGGAAGCGAAACAGGCCGCCCAGAACACCAGGCUUUUGGCUGUCCCAGAAGACAUCCAAGUUGAGGCGAGGGCAGAAAAAAUAAACAGAGAAGUCAUUUUCAUUUCCAAA